UCCAUGUUGAGAAGUCUCGUACUCCGUGACUGUGGUGGCUCGAAUAGCAACAUGCAUCUAUUAUGAUACAUGGAGAACUCAAGACAACAUCUGGUUUUUAAUGUCUUUCAAAUUAGUGGAUUUCAUAUUAAUUUCUCAAUCAAUGUACAAUGUGUUUUUCAUGGAACAUUGCCAAAUAAUUAUGUAAUUUCAUUUUUUUUUUUGUUUAUAAAUCAUUACUAAAUUUUGAUUGCAAACAAUUGUCAUGAUUCAUUAGCAUGAAUUUUAUCCAACAUACAAGUUUUUAAGUGAGUGAUAAACAUUGAAAAUUUUUCUAUUUUGUUUGGUUUGAAAUGCUCUUCAAUUUUAAACUAACAUAUUGUUAUUUGUUUGCAACAUGUUAUAUUUGUAGAAAAUUUUCUUAUCAGGAUUUAUAUUGCAGAUUUGAAUAAUGUUUAAGGUGAAGGAGACUUUUUAGCAUGUCCUGCUAUCUUGAGUUGUGCAAGUCAGAGGCUCAAAGAGCACAAACUCUUAUGACUAGAAGAAAGACAAUUGAGUUCUCAUUCUAUGAUAAGUUUUGGAGAUUGGAGAUAAGAAUACAACAUGAUCUCAUGUCCUUAGUAAUUUGUAGAUUGAGGAUUUUCACAAGGCUUUGCCCCCAAUACCAGUAAAAGAAGAAGAGCUACCAGGUAAUUUGUACUAACAUUAGUACCUUGUAUCUCCAGUUUCAUAGAGAGUUGAUAAUUGAAUUGGUGCUCAACAUGUGGUCUUUGUCCCAAGAUAGGUGUGUUAUCCAUGCCAAGUAGAUGCCCUAUUCAAAUUAUAAGGCUUUGAUUCCUUAAUGAUUGGAAUGAUCUCUAGAAUUCUUACCUAUUUCUAAAUGUCAUGUCACAUCUUUCCAACAGUCCAGCUUCCUUGUGCUCUAAAUUGUGGAGAUCACAAGUUACUAAAAUUUGUGGUUUGCAUUAGAGAAGGAUUGUUUGAUGCUCUCACUACUGGCUAUAUCUUUUGCCCUUGAAACUACAUAUCUUUCAAUCUCCUCUGGUGAGAAAAGAAUAAAGAACAUAAACAAGUUGUCCCAUGAUGACUCACAUUCCUAAAGUUCUAGUUGAUGAUGUACCUUCCUGAGAUUGAAGAGUGAGAAAUGUCAAAGACAUCCCUUAUCUGAGUGAGGCCUUCAAAGACUCCUCACUCUCAAACAACUCAUGAUUGAUGGUAUACUUUAAGAUGUGUUUCUUCUCAGAUGGCCUUCCUUUCUUCCAAUGUAUCUCCUGUAUAUUUUCAUGUAAAGAUUCUAGAAUCCAUGACUUCUCUACAUCACCAAGACCUCACCUAAGCUCCAAUGGUAUUUGGCAACUGAAGGAGAACUCUGCCAUGGUUUCAGAGCUAUACAUCAGUUCUAAAUCCAAUGAUGAGACAUCAAUUCAAGAUUGCCCAUAGGUCCUAUUUGUACAUAGAUGGAGAGAUUCAUCUUUGAUCCAUAAUAGUUUGGAUUCCAAAAAUGGAAGUUGGUGGAGUUCACCCUAUUCUAUCCAUAUAUUCAGGGGCAGCUUCUGACAACAAUUACAAGCUUUAAGGCUUCACAUUUUCUAUUCAAAGUUUGUUUCCCGUGUUGGUCCCUCCCACAAUCCCAUGAUUCUUUCUACGAUGGGUUGUUUAACUUCACUUUCAGCAUAGCUUCUAGUUCAUCAAGUGUAGUGAAAUUGGCAAUUGGAUAUCUACAAAUCAUAUGGUGCAAUAUAUAAGAAACCACCAGGAGGGUGUGGAACCCUGAGUCUGUUAAGAGAGAUGGUUGCAUGCCCAAUAAACAUCGAUCUCCUUCCUAGGGACAAAUUUGUAUAUAUAUCUUUGGAGUUGUUACUGAUUGGAAUGCUUCAAAAGUAGCAACAGGACACUGUGA